rnacentral:rRNA from 1 species
GGUCUCAAGCGUUGUUCGGAUUCAUUGGGCGUAAAGGGUGUGUAGGUGGCGCGCUAAGUCGGGUGUGAAAUUUCGGAGCUUAACUCCGAAACUGCAUUCGAUACUGGCGUGCUUGAGGACUGGAGAGGAGACUGGAAUUCAUGGUGUAGCAGUGAAAUGCGUAGAGAUCAUGAGGAAGACCAGUGGCGAAGGCGGGUCUCUGGACAGUUCCUGACACUGAGACACGAAGGCCAGGGGAGCAAACGGG